UCAGGGCUCCAGGUCCCUUGUCAUCCUGCCUCCUGGGCUGCAGGGUACGUGUCCCCACUCUCAGACACUCAGAAUUUGUUUAAACUCCCUGAAGCCAAGCUCCAGCCCAUCCCACCAUGUCCUCUUGGCUUCACAAUAUAUCUCCUCAGGGCUGAUGCCUAUGAGACCAGCAGAAUCUGUCUUAGCAAAAUGCACACGCAGGCUGUCCACAGGUUCGGGACCCCAGCGGACUCCAGGGAGGCAGGCGGUAAGGAGAAGGCCCUGGGGCGGCGACUGCGCCCCCUCCCCGGUCCUUGGUCUGGGACGGCAGCUGUCCCCCGGUUUCCCUGCCUCGGCCUCCUCCCCAGCACUAUAGAAAUGCCACAAAAGGGAAACGGCGCUUUCAGAAAGGUCGGCCACCAAAACGCCAGGCAUGCAGGAGGAUCUCAAAAGUGGAGCGAGAAAGCGGUGGGGGAAGCCGGCGCCCACAAAGCCAUGAACCCCAGCUCAUCAGCUUCUUCUGGGAGACGCCGAGAGAAGGCUGCCGCUGCCUCCAGGGUCGCCCGCGAGUGCCACCUGGUCCCGGGCAGGGAACUUUCCCCAGGACCGGCACCCCCCGCCAGGUCGGAGGUGUGACUAAAAAAUCCAGCAGCUGCUGCUACCCAGUGCCAUCCAGCAGAGAAGCAGGCUUGAACAACUUGAAGGUGUCCUCAUCAGCCUUCUUCACCAGCUCUGGUAACGUGUGACUGCUGGCUCUUCCCUCGAUGUCAAAAUGAGCAUGAAAGAGAAACAUUUUGAAUUGAUUCAAGACAUGGAGGCAGCCAGGACAGCACAGACACUCAGGAAAGAGGACUCCAGAGCUGCUGCAGAAAGUGACAAGAAACAGGUACCAGGGAUCAAGCUCAUGACCUCACACUUGCCAGGCAGCCGCUUAUGCUGCUGAGCUAAAACCCCAGCCCCUGCGGUUGUACAUUUUUAAGCAUGAACACUCACUGUAACUUCCAGGCACACCCUGCACGUCUUCACCAGCUCCCAGAAGAUUCCUGGGGACCUCAGUGUGACAAGCACUGAACUUGUCACUUACGUGACAACCCAGUGGCCUGCAGCCUUUGUCAGUGGACUCAGUCCCCAGCCCUGUUCCUGGGGCUGCCCUCCAAAGCCCACAGUGAGCGCCUUGGAGGAAUCCCCAUCAGGAGGACACAUAGCAUCCAGGGGCGAUAGAUUCCUCCACCCACAGUGUGGGGAAAGACUCUGUUCUACAUGUUGUCCCUAUGAAACAAAAAUAAUUUUUAAAGGCCUAGAUUAUCUCAUAGAAGAAAAGAGUUUCCAUGUCCUUGAUUAAAAACUGUGACCCAACAUAAGGAGACGGUUAAAAACCAUCAUUGGCAAUUAUCUAACUUUUUAUUUUUUGGUUUUCUGAGAGUUUCACUCUUGUAGUUCAGGCUGGCCUCGAACUCACAGUGAUCCUCCUGCCUCAGCCUCCUGAGUGCCAGGAUCACAGGCAUAUACUAUCACACCCUGCUUUGCAAGGAAUUUAUAUACUUUAUCUCAUUUACUUCCGGACCCAACCCUGCACCACCAGUGCUAGCCAGCUGGGUCCCCAGUUCAUGGCUCAGGAACUAAAGGACUCUGCAUUUCAGGAGGCACCCCCAGGUCCCCUUGUAGUUCAUGCCAAGACCUGCCUUGCAAGCUAACCCUAACUGAAGAAGUUCCUUGGCAGAACUGUGUCCCCCCUGUGCCAUGCAGCCUCUCCCAGAGUCCCCUCACCUUCAGCCUCUAGCCAAGAGCAGCAUGACCCAGACACCCCUGAGGUCCCUACAGCACCAGUGAGCACUUUCAAGACAGGGUCACAAAGUCCUCAUCCCCUCAGUUGCUGCUCAUCUGUUGCUGUCAUUGUCCCCUGUCACUGACAUUUGUAUCAGACCUCUCUGCCAAGUCUUGUGGCUAUUGUACUGAAAGAUCCUGCAGCUGCUCUCUGAGCCGAACCCUCCAAGGCACAGGGACUUGGACAGUAUGACACAUGACAAGUCUCGUGGAGGCCUUGGAAUUCCUUCUGCUGACAAAGCAAUCAAGGCUCUGUUGGGCUCUCUAAGCUGUUUGGGAGGCUGAGGCAAGAGGGUCCCAAGUCUGAGGCCAGCCUGCACAGCUUGGCAAGGCUGUGUCACAAAGUCAAAACAGCUUGGGCUUGGGUUGCAGCUCAGUAGCAGAGUAGCCUCAUUCAAUCCCCAAGGGACAGGAAAGAAGGCAGAAAGGGAGGAGGAAGGGAAGGAGAGCAGGACAGGGAGGUGAGGCUUGGAAGAGUGAAGCAACUUGAAAUGGCACAUGGCCAUGCUAAAAACCAAGGGGCUCCCCAGAAGGCCUCUGACCUGUUCCCACUCUCCUGUGUACUGGCAGGGGACCGAGUGACACUGCCUGACCAUGCCCGGCCACCCUGCUCAGCCAAUCUCCAUUCAUUUCUGGGCUGUUAAGAAACUCCACCGUGCUCGAUGGAGGAUGUAGUGAAGCCUCCAAAGUUUGCAGUCACCAAAGAUGUCCAGUGCAGAUGGUGAAGACUACAAGAGCCCCCGAGCCCCAACCUCACCACAUGCUGGGCCAGGCAGGGCCUGACUCAAGGUCAGCAGAGGAACCCAGUGACAAGGAGUCCACAGCUUUGCCAAGGUCCUCCAGGUGUCCAUUUCCUCUCAUUCCUGCUGAUAGUCUCAACCCAGAGGUUCCUUGUGCCUGGCACAAGAUGUCCCCGUGGCACACCCAGAAAGCUAGCUGGGGCAGAGGGGCAGAGGCUCCCACACAGCUCCUAAAUUUGGCCUGGCCAAUCCUACCUGGAAGGGUCUUCUGGGUCCCUACCUGCUGGCCCUACAGCAGCCACUGGAACACAGUCGGUAAGAUGGGGCCACACUCAAGUGUCAACAGCUCAAUCCACCUGUUGCUCUUAGCACUGGAACCGGGUCUGCAGGUUUCUCUUUGCAUUGCUGAGUGCUGAGCACAUGAUGGCGGGUGAGGGGCCAGGUCAUGGAGGCUCCCUGGGAAGACAGAGUGAGGUGGGACAGAGUGGAGGCAGCACGUACACACACACCUGCUGCACUCUAUACCACCUUAAAGUUUACAAAGUCCUUUGCCCAUAACCAGAGCACUACCCAAAGCAGCAUCACCCAUGGGACACAGCUUCUGGGAACUCAAGGUGCUUCGUGUUUAUAGGCCCAGAAACAAUGUUCUUGGCCCUCGGGAAGAUUCUAAGAAAUAAGCACUGCUUCUGUUCCCACACUGAACAUGAGGACUAGGAAACAGGGUGGGGAGAUCUGCAAAAGGGACAAAGAGAUUGGGAGGAGGGGGAGAUGAAAAAGAAUUCAGAUGUGUGGUAAACAAGCACUGACUCUGCGCCAGGAACAUGAUCCUCAUGUACAGUAAACAUGGCCUAAUAAAAAUUAAAAGUGAAAAAAAGGUUUAAUAAAGGCAAGAAAGCUAGGCGUACUGGUGCAAGCUGGUAAUCACAGCACUAGAGAGGCUGAGGCAGGAUUGCUACAAGUUUGAGGCCAGCCUGGGUUACACAGUGAGUCCAAGACCAGCCUGAACUACUUAGCGAGAACUUGUCUCAAAAAAACAAACUAAAGGGGCUGGCGAUUUAGCUCAGCAGCGUAAGCGCCUGCCUGGCAAGCUUGAGGUCAUCAGUUUGAUCCUCAGUACAAAAAAAAAAAAAAAACUAAACUAAACAAAUAAGAAGAAAUGGAGGCUACGGAUCCAUUUGGAAUUCUGUUCACCAUCUUACGGAUCCGUAUGUUGUAAUCUAAGCAGAAAGGACAGUGAGAACAGCGGGGUGUCUCAGAGACCCCAUGGCAGAAAUGCAGCUGGACAGAUGCCACACUGGGUCAUCUUGGGAAGUCAACCAAGCAGGAGCAGAACCCGCUGGGAUAACCCAUUCUGGGUGUGUUUGUGAAUGAUUGGCAGGUAACCCAGCAAACGGGGAUGCUCCACCCCGGAAGUGGGUGCACCAGCCAAUCAAUUCAGACCACAGAGGGCACGAAAAAAGGAAGUGUUUCCCUUUGUGGAGAUCUGGUGUUUAGCGUGCCCUUUGGACGAGGUCACCAGUUUCUUUGGGUUUCUCGGGCAGUCUUCGUCCAAGGGGCCCCCGCUAGAGGCCCCGAAGCGAAUUUCCGUUCUUCCGCUCUCCAGCUCUCCAGUGUGCACGUGGCUGUUUUUAUUUUUUUCCUCUGCUGCCGCAGGCGCCAUGAAGACUUCCACCCCAUCCCCAAAGCCCAUCUAACAGAGCCCUGUAUUAUUAUCCUCAUUUUUAUCCCGUGCCUGUUACUCCCGAGAACCCUAAGCCAGGGCCAGCCCCACACGGAGACCAGCGGCAGCUCGGGUCCCUUCCCUGCAGGAGCCGUCACUGUGGCCGAGGGACAGGGCUGUGGGCUGAGGUGCAGGCCCGGGAUUCUGGCGUCGCACCGGGGACCAAGAGGCUAUCAGAAGUCACCCCAUUUGCCCCACAGCUAGCAGGUGCGCAGAGGAGCUGCACUGAGCUGGGCUGACACCCCAAAGCUUGAGAACUCUGAUGGCACAGGACCUGGUCUCUGGGCUCUGAGUACACAAUGCUGGAUCUCUGGGCCUUCGAGCCUUCUGUUCCACCACCCAGAUCGCACUGCCCACUCCUCACAGGCCCAUGGAAGACCGAGAUGUCCCUGCUCUGGAGAACCUUAGACCAAAGGCCGAGGCCCACUUCAGGCUGUGGCAGAUGGAGAUGGAACGGCCAAAUCGGUUCUGAGAUCUUGAUGAAACUGGACAGAGGAAAAAGAGGAGGAAAUCGGCUUCCAGUCUGGACUGGACUCUGGCCUGCAGUGUGCUGCCUGAUGGUCCUCACCUUCUGUUGGGGGUGCUGACACUGGGGAGCCCUGCACUGGGCUGUGGCAGGUAUAGGGGAUAUGUACUGGGAACUUCAAAGCCUACUCAGGGACAUGCAGGAUGGGUCACGGGAGAGUCACACAUUGCAAGGGGGAAAGUAAACCAAUCCUGUCUCUCUCAAACAUUGUGACAAGUGUUAGAAGUCAGUAGUGAGCCCAGACUGGAGGUGCCCACCCCAUCUCAAAAGAAAAAGCAAAAAAGUUGAUGUAGCUUGGUGAUAGAGUACUAGCCUACUGUGUGCAAGGCCCUGGGUUCAAUCCCCAGUCCUUGGAAAAAGAGCAAAGCCAGCAAUGUAGAAAAACACACCUGUCGUCCCAGCUGCCAGGCAAACGGAUCAGUUGAGCCAGUAAGGUUAAGACCAGUGUGGACAACAUGGUGAUACUGUAUCUCAAAAAAGAAAAAAAAAAAAAAACAGUGAUGAUGAUGAUAAGGAUGGCAUUUUUACCCCAGAAAAAUCUACUCUUGAAAGAACCUGAUACACAGAAAGGAACCAAUAAAAGAAUUGCUGAAUGAAUGACAUUUAUUUAGAUAUUAGAAACUACCUAAAACUGGGCGUCAUGGUGCACACCUGUAAUCCCAGCGCUUGGGAAGUUGAAGCAGGAAGAUCGAUGUGAAUUCAAGGCCAGCCUGGGCUACAUAGUUCAAAAUCAACCUGAACACAAAGCAAGACCCUAUCUCACAAAGGAGAGGGGGGAGCAGAGGGGCAAUAAAAAUACAUUUUUUUUAAAAAAAUCCAUUUCAUAGACAAUGCACUUGGGACUCCUGUCUCUCAGGAGCCAUUCCUGUUCCGCAAUAAACCUUUCUUACUUUUAA